rnacentral:rRNA from 2 species
CCUGGCGGCACUAGCGCGGUGGUCCCACCUGACCCCAUGCCGAACUCAGAAGUGAAACGCCGUAGCGCCGAUGGUAGUGUGGGGUCUCCCCAUGUGAGAGUAGGGAA